rnacentral:rRNA from 1 species
UUUGACCUCGGAUCAGGUAGGGAUACCCGCUGAACUUAAGCAUAUCAAUAAGCGGAGGAAAAGAAACCAACAGGGAUUGCCCUAGUAACGGCGAGUGAAGCGGCAACAGCUCAAAUUUGAAAUCUGGCUCUCUUUGGGGGUCCGAGUUGUAAUUUGCAGAGGAUGCUUUGGCAUUGGCGGCGGUCUAAGUUCCUUGGAACAGGACAUCGCAGAGGGUGAGAAUCCCGUACGUGGGCGCCUGCCUUUGCCGUGUAAAGCUCCUUCGACGAGUCGAGUUGUUUGGGAAUGCAGCUCUAAAUGGGAGGUAAAUUUCUUCUAAAGCUAAAUACCGGCCAGAGACCGAUAGCGCACAAGUAGAGUGAUCGAAAGAUGAAAAGUACUUUGGAAAGAGAGUCAAAAAGCACGUGAAAUUGUUGAAAGGGAAGCGCUUGCAGCCAGACUUGCCCGCAGUUGCUCACCUAGGCUUUGGCCUGGGGCACUCUUCUGCGGGCAGGCCAGCAUCAGUUUGGGCGGUUGGAUAAAGGCCUCUGUCACGUAUCUUCCUUCGGGAUGACCUUAUAGGGGAGGCGUAAUGCAACCAGCCCGGACUGAGGUCCGCGCAUCUGCUAGGAUGCUGGCGUAAUGGCUGUAAGCGGCCCGUCUUGAAACACGGACCAAGGAGUCUAACAUCUAUGCGAGUGUUUGGGUGUCAAGCCCGGGCGCGCAAUGAAAGUGAACGGAGGUGGGAACCCUUUGGGUGCACCAUCGACCGAUCCUGAUGUCUUCGGAUGGAUUUGAGUAAGAGCAUAGCUGUUGGGACCCGAAAGAUGGUGAACUAUGCUUGAAUAGGGUGAAGCCAGAGGAAACUCUGGUGGAGGCUCGCAGCGGUUCUGACGUGCAAAUCGAUCGUCAAAUUUGGGCAUAGGGGCGAAAGACUAAUCGAAC